rnacentral:rRNA from 1 species
AGCGAACGCUGGCGGCAGGCUUAACACAUGCAAGUCGAGCGGGCACUUUCGGGUGUCAGCGGCGGACGGGUGAGUAACGCGUGGGAACGUGCCCUCUGGUUCGGAAUAACUCAGGGAAACUUGAGCUAAUACCGGAUACGCCCUUUUGGGGAAAGGCUUGCUGCCGGAGGAUCGGCCCGCGUCUGAUUAGCUAGUUGGUGAGGUAACGGCUCACCAAGGCGACGAUCAGUAGCUGGUCUGAGAGGAUGAUCAGCCACACUGGGACUGAGACACGGCCCAGACUCCUACGGGAGGCAGCAGUGGGGAAUAUUGGACAAUGGGCGCAAGCCUGAUCCAGCCAUGCCGCGUGAGUGAUGAAGGCCUUAGGGUUGUAAAGCUCUUUUAUCCGGGACGAUUAUGACGGUACCGGAGGAAUAAGCCCCGGCUAACUUCGUG